UGCGGAAGGAUCAUUACCGAGUGAGGGCCCUCUGGGUCCAACCUCCCACCCGUGUCUAUCGUACCUUGUUGCUUCGGCGGGCCCGCCGUUUCGACGGCCGCCGGGGAGGCCUUGCGCCCCCGGGCCCGCGCCCGCCGAAGACCCCAACAUGAACGCUGUUCUGAAAGUAUGCAGUCUGAGUUGAUUAUCGUAAUCAGUUAAAACUUUCAACAACGGAUCUCUUGGUUCCGGCAUCGAUGAAGAACGCAGCGAAAUGCGAUAAGUAAUGUGAAUUGCAGAAUUCAGUGAAUCAUCGAGUCUUUGAACGCACAUUGCGCCCCCUGGUAUUCCGGGGGGCAUGCCUGUCCGAGCGUCAUUGCUGCCCUCAAGCACGGCUUGUGUGUUGGGCCCCCGUCCCCCUCUCCCGGGGGACGGGCCCGAAAGGCAGCGGCGGCACCGCGUCCGGUCCUCGAGCGUAUGGGGCUUUGUCACCUGCUCUGUAGGCCCGGCCGGCGCCAGCCGACACCCAACUUUAUUUUUCUAAGGUUGACCUCGGAUCAGGUAGGGAUACCCGCUGUACUUAAGCAUAUCAAUAAGCCGGAGGAAGGAUC
rnacentral:rRNA from 1 species